GACGAACGCUGGCGGCGUGCCUAAUACAUGCAAGUAGGACGCAGUUGCGAACGGGUGAGUAACGCGUAGGUAACUACCUAUUAGAGGGGGAUAACUAUUGGCAACGAUAGCUAAUACCGCAUACUAGUAGAUGGACCUGCGUUGUAUUAGCUAGUAGGUAGAGUAAUGGCCUACCGAGGCAACGAUACAUAGCCGACCGGAGAAGGUGAUCUGCAACACUUGGACGGAGACACGGCCCAGACUCCGACGGGAGGCAGCAGUAGGGAAUCUUCGGCAAGUGGGGGAACACUGACCGAGCAACGCCGCGUGAGUGAAGAAGGUUUUCGGAUCGUAAAGCUCUGUUGUUAAGGAAGCGGUACUUAACCAGAAAGGGACGGCUAACUACGUGCCAGCAGCCGAGGUAAUAC
rnacentral:rRNA from 1 species